UUAUUCGACUCGUGAAUCCCUCUCGAGACGAGCCAACCCUGGCUGCUUACCUCCAGCAGCUUUACAGUUCUGAAGCUUUAGAAAUAUCUCGUAAAGAAGCUUUUGAAAAAUUUUCAACUAAUUCAGACAUGCUUGACAUUAUUAAUGUUUUAAAGGAGUCUCAUAUGAGUGAAACUGGAGACGAAAAAAUGAAUACCCCGAAUUAUUAUCUUCGAAAGCUUUCCGGUGGCAUCAACGCGCUACAACCAGCCACUCGCAUCCCUACCACUAACCUUAAGAAAAAUGCAGACUCAUUGACAAAUGAGCUACUCCCCUCCGCCCC